ensembl:lncRNA
AUUCAAUACAAUCCCUAUUAAAAUACCAAUGACAUUCUUCACAGAGACAGAAAAAAAAAUUCUAAAAUGUAUAUGGAACCACAAAAGACCUUGAAUAGUCAGAGUAAUACUGAGAAAAAACAAAACAAACAAAACUGAAGGUAUCACACUACCUGAUUUCAAAACUUACUAUAAAAUUAUAGUAACCAAAACAUCAUGGUACUCAUAUAAAAAUAGACACAUAGAACAAUGAAACAGAAUAGGGAAUCCAGAUAUACAUACACACAUUUACAGCCAACUCAUCUUUGACAAAUGCACCAAGAAAUACAAAGGGGGAGGGACAGUCUUUUUCAAUAAGUGGUGCUGGAAAACUGGGUAUCCACAGGCAGAAGAAGUUAAACUAGACCUUCAUCUCUCACCAUAUAAAAAUCCAACCAAAAUUGAUUAAAUACUUAAAUCUAAGAACUAAACUAUGAAUCUACUAGAAGGAAAUAUCGGGGGAAAAUCUCCAGGACAUUGGUCUGGGCAAAGAUUUACUCCAUAAGAUCUCAAUAGCACAAGUAACCAAAGCAAAAAUAGAAAAAUGGGAUUACAUCAAACUACAAAGCUUCUGCACAGCAGAGGAAACAAUUAACAAAGUGAAGAGACAACUUACAGAAUGGGGAAAAAUAUUUGCACACUAUCCAUGAGAAGGGAUUAAUAACCAGAAUAUAUAGGAAGCUCAAACUAUUUAAAAGCAAAAAAUUAAUCUGAUUUAACAUGGGCAAAAGAUUGGUAUUGACGUUUCUCAAAAGACGACAUAUGAAUGGCCAACAGUUACAUGAAAAAAUAUUCAUUAUUUGAUAUGGUUUGGCUGUUUCUCCACUGAAAUCUCAACUCAGUUUAUCUCCCGGAAGUCCCACGUAUUGUAGGAGGGACAACACCUCCCCAGGGAGGGAGUUGAAUCAUGGGGGCUGAUUUCCCAUGCUAUCCUUGUGAUAGUGAAUAAGUCUCAUGAGAUCUGUUGGGUUUAUCAGAGGUUUCUGCUUUUGCUUCUUCCUCAUUUUUCUCUUGCUGCUACUAUGUAAGCAAUGUCUUUCAUCUCCUGCCACGAUUCUGAGGCCUACCAGCCAAGUGGAACUAUGGAAGGGACUUGAGUUGUCUCAGAUGAAAGUUUGGACUUUGAACUUUUGGGUUAAUGCUGAAGUGAGGUAAGACUUUGGGGGACUGUUGGGAAGGCAUGAUUGGUUUUGAAAUGUGAGGACAUGAGAUUUGGAGGGGCCAGGGGUAGAAUUAUAUGAUUUGGCUGUAUUCCUACUGAAAUCUCAACUUGAAUUGUAUCUCCCAGAAGUUCCACGUGUUAUGGGAGGGACUCAGGAGAAGGUAAUUAAAUCACGAGGGCUGGUCUUUCCCAUGCUAUUCUCAUGAUAGUGAAUAAGGCUCACAAGAUCUGAUGGGUUUAUCAAGCGUUUCUGCUUUUGCUUCUUUCUCAUUUUUCUCUUGCUGCCACCAUGUAAGAAGGGCCUUUUGCCUCCUGCCAUGAUUCUGAGGCCUCCCCAGCCAUGUGGAGCUAUAAGUUCAAUUAAACCUUUUUUUAUUCCCAGUUUUGGGUAUGUCUUUAUCAGCAGCAUGAAAAUGUAUUAAUAUAGCAUCACUAAUCAUCAGAGAAAGGCAAAUCAAAAUCACAACGAAAUAUCAUCUCAUAGCAGUUAAAAUGGAUUGUAUCAAAAAGGCAAUAACAAAGAUGUGGAGAAAGGGGAACCUUGUACACUGUUGGUGGGAAUGUAAAAUAGUACAGCCGAUAUAGAAAUACAGUAUGGAGGCUCCUCAAAAAACCAAAAGCAGAAUGACCAGCAAUUCCAAUACUGAGUAUAUACAUAAAAGAAAGGAAAUCAACAUAUCAGAGAGAUAUCUGCAUUCCCACAUUAACUGCAGCACUAUUCACAAUGGCCAGAAUAUGGAAUCAACCUAAAUGCCAGUCAACGGAUGAAUGGACAAAGAAAAUGUGAAAUAUACAUAUAAUUGAAUAUUAUUCAGCCAUAACAAUGAAAUCCUGCCAUUUGCAGCAACAUAUAUGGAACUAGAGGCCAUUAUGUUAAGUGAAAUAAGCCAAGCACAGAAGGACAAAUAUCACAUGCUCUCACUCAUAUGUGGGAAUUGAAAGAGUGAAUCUCAUGAAGACAGAAGAUUGUUGGUUACCAAAGGCCAAGAAUGGUAGGAGGAAGAAGGGUUUGAAGUGAAAGGGUUUAAAGUGAGAAAAAAAAAAAGAAUAUAAAUGGAGCCAUUACCACUUAAUU